GGUUAAGUGACUAAGCGUACACGGUGGAUGCCUGGGCAGUCAGAGGCGAUGAAGGACGUACUAACUUGCGAUAAGCGCAGAUAAGGCAGUAAGAGCCGUUUGAGUCUGCGAUUUCCGAAUGGGGAAACCCAACUGCAUAAGCAGUUACUGUUAACUGAAUACAUAGGUUAACAGAGCAAACCGGGGGAACUGAAACAUCUAAGUACCCCGAGGAGAAGAAAUCAACCGAGAUUCCGGUAGUAGCGGCGAGCGAACCUGGAUUAGCCCUUAAGCACUCGGUGAAGUAGGUGAACAAGCUGGAAAGCUUGGCGAUACAGGGUGAUAGCCCCGUAACCGACGCUUCAUCGAGCGUGAAAUCGAGUAGGGCGGGACACGUGAUAUCCUGUCUGAAUAUGGGGGGACCAUCCUCCAAGGCUAAAUACUCCUGACUGACCGAUAGUGAACCAGUACCGUGAGGGAAAGGCGAAAAGAACCCCUGUGAGGGGAGUGAAAUAGAACCUGAAACCGUGUACGUACAAGCAGUAGGAGCACCUUCGUGGUGUGACUGCGUACCUUUUGUAUAAUGGGUCAGCGACUUAUAUUCAGUGGCAAGGUUAACCGUAUAGGGGAGCCGUAGCGAAAGCGAGUCUUAACUGGGCGCUCAGUCUCUGGAUAUAGACCCGAAACCGGGUGAUCUAGCCAUGGGCAGGUUGAAGGUUGAGUAACAUCAACUGGAGGACCGAACCGACUAAUGUUGAAAAAUUAGCGGAUGACUUGUGGCUAGGGGUGAAAGGCCAAUCAAACUCGGAGAUAGCUGGUUCUCCCCGAAAGCUAUUUAGGUAGCGCCUCGGACGAAUACUACUGGGGGUAGAGCACUGUUAAGGCUAGGGGGUCAUCCCGACUUACCAACCCUUUGCAAACUCCGAAUACCAGUAAGUACUAUCCGGGAGACACACGGCGGGUGCUAACGUCCGUCGUGGAGAGGGAAACAACCCAGACCGCCAGCUAAGGUCCCAAAGUAUUGCUAAGUGGGAAACGAUGUGGGAAGGCUCAGACAGCUAGGAUGUUGGCUUAGAAGCAGCCAUCAUUUAAAGAAAGCGUAAUAGCUCACUAGUCGAGUCGGCCUGCGCGGAAGAUGUAACGGGGCUAAGCAAUACACCGAAGCUGCGGCAAUAUCUUUUAGAUAUUGGGUAGGGGAGCGUUCUGUAAGCCGUUGAAGGUGAAUCGUAAGGUUUGCUGGAGGUAUCAGAAGUGCGAAUGCUGACAUGAGUAACGACAAAGGGGGUGAAAAACCUCCUCGCCGGAAGACCAAGGGUUCCUGUCCAACGUUAAUCGGGGCAGGGUGAGUCGACCCCUAAGGUGAGGCCGAAAGGCGUAAUCGAUGGGAAACGGGUUAAUAUUCCCGUACUUCUGACUAUUGCGAUGGGGGGACGGAGAAGGCUAGGUGGGCCAGGCGACGGUUGUCCUGGUUCAAGUGCGUAGGCUUGAGAGUUAGGUAAAUCCGGCUCUCUCUAAGGCUGAGACACGACGUCGAGCUGCUACGG
rnacentral:rRNA from 1 species